rnacentral:rRNA from 1 species
UUUAACGGCCGCGGUAUUCUGACCGUGCAAAGGUAGCGCAAUCACUUGUCUUUUAAAUGAAGACCUGUAUGAAUGGCACAACGAGGGCAUAGCUGUCUCCUCUCCCCAGUCAAUGAAAUUGAUCUCCCCGUGCAGAAGCGGGGAUUCCACCAUAAGACGAGAAGACCCCAUGAAGCUUCAGACACUAGAAAGCCCACAAUAAAUAGCCCCGCACUAACAAGAAGAACAUUAUGGCCCUUCCCUUCUGUCUUUGGUUGGGGCGACCACGGAGGAAAAAAGAGCCUCCCUGUGGACUAAGAGCACUACUCUUACAACUAAGACUAACACCUCUAAGUAACAGAACUUCUGACCUAUUUGACCCGGCUUACGCCGAUCAACGAACUGAGUUACCCUGGGGAUAACAGCGCAAUCC